AUGUACAUCCCUACAGCAUAAUGUUAAUGCAUUGGAUCCCAUUAGAACUUCGUAGUUAAGCAUUAUCGGGCUAGAGUAGUAUUGGGAUGGGUGACCGCCUGCGAAGUCCUAGUAUUUUACAUG
rfam:Picea glauca, whole genome shotgun sequence.